AUGAAAGCUGCUGCUCUUAAUUUUUUUUUUUUUUAUUUUUUUUUGUUCUUAAGCACAUCUUGGAUUUUCCAAUACAUUCAGAAUGAGACCUAUUACUAUCCUUGUUUCCUCCAUAUUUGGGUCAAAAGAAUGGCAAGGGGAAAGGCAAAACUCUGUGGUUCCCAACAUCCACACAGAUCAGAUCAGACAGAGACAGGUGAAUCCUGGAGGUGAAUGCCUGGCUGUGAAAAUAGUAUCUCCAGGAGGGCUUCGGCUUCCUUGACCACGGGUUGCUGUUCGAUGAAGAAGGACUGCUCAGCAGAGAUGGGAUCCACCUAUUGAGGAAGAGGAAGAACAUAUUUGGAUACAAACUGGCUAACCUAGUGAGAAGGGUUUUAAACUAGAUUCAAAGGGAGCAGGUGACCAAAGCCCACAGGUAAGUCAAAAACAUGGAACCCUGGGAGAAGGGUUUGAGUUUGGGGGGAGCACAGUUAUAGCAGGGAUAAGGGAGAGACAAGAUAGAACUGGGUGUGGGGAAUGAAAUCAGUAUCUUAGAUGCCUGUAUAAGCAGGAAGACCUCAAAAUGCUAGUAAAUAAACAACUAUGACAUAGUUGGCA
ensembl:lncRNA